rnacentral:piRNA from 1 species
UAAUGGCCUGCCAGCAGGGGCUGUGUAGC